CGGCCUCUUGCCACUAGUGGUGAUGUCACUGCCGGCCACUCCCACUUUCUCUUGGGUACAGACCUCUGCAUACAGUGGUCCUCGAUCCUCACAGAAUUGCUGAGUGCUUCUGAUGAGAUUUCAGGCUCCCUAAGACUGGUUUUUGACCAGAAAGAAGUGCCAAGUCAGGCUAAUUGUGCUCAAGAGUUCCAAGGGUUACGUAGCGUGUCUCUCCAUGGGACUCUCUCUGUACUGACUCAUGGAAAAGAAUGCAUUUGGGAGUGGAAACCACCAAGGUCUCUGAUUCCAUCAAAGAUGGCAGCCCUCAAGACUAUACCAUCCGCCUCCAGGAAUCAGGAGAAUCAGGAUGGUGGAGUUCAAGGAUACGCGCUCAUCUCCUGCGUGAACACCAAAAUCGCAACUAGCAGCGGAACAACUCCUGACAGGAGGGUGUUGGAACACACCGAGAAAAGAGACCCCAUGUCAAGGACAAAGGAAAAGCCGCAGUGAGAUGGUAGGAGGGGUGCAAUCGCAUUAAAAUCAAACCCCGUACCCGCCAGAGAUUCUCGGAGGGCACAACAAGACCUCAUGUGCACCAGGACCAAGGGAAAGGAGAAGUGAUCCCCCCCAAAAAAGAGACAGAGUCAGACCUGCCUGUGAGUGUUUGACGGUCUCCUGCGGAGGCAUGGGUCAGCAAUGGCCCGCCGUGGGGACAGGGGCAUUGGCAGCAGCAACUGCUAUUAGAAGACAUUAUAGCACCUAGGGCUUGGGUUUGGGAGCUGGAUGGAUCUGUAUUUGAGAUCCACUUGCUUGGAAACUGCCCGGCUGUGUUCCUUUGAAUAAACAUCUUAACCU
rnacentral:lncRNA from 1 species